rnacentral:lncRNA from 1 species
CAAAUGUUUUUAAUGAUUAUAAUAAUAUAGAACUAUGCAAUGUGAAUGUGGAUUUUUUCUCUGCAGAAAUACAGGAUGUAUUUACUUAAGGAAAUCCUGUCCCAGAUCUCUCUGCUGCUUCACAUCAUCUCUUUAGAUUGGGUUCUUCCAGAUUGCUUUAUCAGCAAUCUUUCUGCCUGCUCCAUUUCUCUCUGAAAGAUGGAAAGCUGAAGCAAGUACAG